AACUAAUGCCAGUUUCUGGCGCAGCAGCAGCGGUGGUGGUGUCGACAAGAUUGAGGUCGAGAUCAUUAUCCGAGCAGGUGAAAACGCGACCGGGGGAGGUAGCGGCGGCAUGGCUAGCUCUUGGAGCUCUAUUUUUGGAGGUUAGUGGAUGAAGUGGAAGGAUGGACGGACUUGGACGCUACGGGGGGAUGGGAUGGUUGGAUUUUAGAAAAAGGUCACAGUGACUUUUUAUUUUUAUUUUUAUUUUUAUUUUUAUUAAUUAUUAUGUCAAUAGCUAUGUUUUAGACUUUUAGUGGCAGUCAGAGGUCUCAUCUUUGACUAACUUUAAUGGAAAUAAUUAAUUUUUUUUCGA